UUACGGUUAUAUCACGCUGAAAGACCGGUUCCCGUACGAUAAUUAAAGUUAAGCAACGUUGAGUCUGGUCAGUACCUAGAUGGGUGACCGCUUGAAAAUACUAAGUGCUGUAA